rnacentral:tRNA from 1 species
UAGAACAACGGUCUUCAAAAUCGUUAGCGUGGGUUCGAUUCCUGCUUCCCUCG